AAAUUUUGGAUGGGAAACUAAACAGGGCCUUAAUUUCCUUCUUCCUUUCUUGUGUUUGCUUUGUUCGGCCUAUAUGCAUUACAUGUUCUAGAUCCAUCCUAAAAUACAAGAUAUUGAAGCAUUUAAAAUGUAUCCUAAAUUAUACAUGAUUCUAGGUGAAUUAACUAUCCGGUACUCAAUUACUUGCGUAGCUGCUAUUAAUAUCAAUUAUCAAUCCAACUACCACACCAAGAUCAAAACCUAGUGUUCUCCAAUAAGACUAAAAGAUUAUUGCAUACACCAUUUGAUUUAUCAUGUACUAUAAUUCAUAAUUCUUAGGGUGACUUAUAUUUUAGGACCGGUCAUGACCAAAUCUUCUAAAUACGAUUGGUGCACCAAAAGAGGCCCAGGGAGCGUGGCCACGUCGCCCGCAAUUCCCGGCCGUCCGAUCGGCCGGCCAGACGGCCCAGAUCGAGCCAUUCUCUGCCAGUUUGCAAUAAAGCCCUCGAACUUUGUUGAAAUAGAAGCCGCUUCCAGCACACUCUCUCAGAUUUUUUAUUCAAAAUAGUCCUCAAACUUUACUGAAUUCAAAUAUCAAUCUAUAUUCGCACACUCUCUCAGCUUGCUGGGCCUAAGUGGGCCAAAUACGGCCCUAUGCUAUUUUUAUUUUCCAAUUAAUUUUUAAUCUUUUCUUUUCAAAAUAGAGAUCUCCAAAAAUUCGUAAAAAAUAUAGAAAAAUCAUAAAAAAACAAACUAAUUUUGUUGAGUUUCUUAUGACUAGAUCUAUGCAUUUAACUUAAAAUAUCAUAUGGUUUAGUGUAUUUUAUUUGAUAGAUAUAUACAUCUAUAAUUUUAUGUGAGUGAUUAAUUUUUUCCUCAUAUCGCAUAUGAACUGAAAAUAUCUCCCCAAAAUUAACUCUAAAUAAAUUUAUACCCUUUUUCACAAUCUUCGAUUUCUAAUUCUCCCCACCUUAACUCUAGAUCAAUUCAUACAUUUUUUUCAUAAUAUUCGUUUCCUAAUCCUUUAAUUUUAUACUGACUUGUAAUACAAAAUAAUCCAAAACAAAUAAUCGCUGACAUACAUAUAAGAAGCCAAAUACUUCACCAUACAUAUGACAUUUUGUACACUCGCAUAUAUGAGUACAUCAUGUCAUACAUAUAAACAAACAAAAUAAAUACACUAAAAAUAUACGCCAUACAAAGAAAAAAAACAAAAAAAAGACACACAUACGACGCAUAGCUAACCACUGACCAUAAAGCGGCAACGCCGCGCACAUUUCUAGGUUUUUUGAUUGAUGCAUCAGAGCCGUUGCUUCACGGAAGGGGCAAAAGCCUCUAGUUGGAAAUAAUACAAAUCUUUCAAUGUCUCCAGACUCCCCCCAUCCAUUUUCAAGCCAUUGUUUUUUUUCUUCUUUUUUUGGUGAACACAUCAGCGGCACAUGGAGACGAUGUGGAAAGUGUUUGUUCCCUCCCUACUCUGACUCAAGGACGCAAGCUCUCUCCAGCUUUUAUUAUUUCCAGAAAACUCAGCACCAGCAGCUAGCCGCCGCAAGCAAAGCAAGCAGGAUGUCUUUGUGCACGAAAGAAAGCAUAAGGAGCAGCAAGAAAGGGAGGGGAGAAUCUGAUGAUCAAUUUGUUGGUGAGCUACCACUCCUCCCUCCUCUUCUUGUGGAACAACAAGAUGCGCGCGAGCUUGUUUAUGCACUGCACUAUGCUGCUACUUUUCGUUUUUUUUUUGAUAAGGCACUGCUGCUACUUGCUUC